rnacentral:misc_RNA from 1 species
UUUCCGUAGGUGAACCUGCGGAAGGAUCAUUAUUGAAUGAAACACUUCUGGCUUUAUGCUGUUGUGCUGGCCCUUUGGGCAAUGUGCACACGGCUCAGGUCACUUGUUUCUUCUGUUCCACCUGUGCACUGCCUGUAGACACGCUGUGUCUAUGAUAUUUGUUAACACACAACAAUGUUAGUUGGCAUGUUAUAUAUAAUAAUAAAAUAUACAACUUUCAACAACGGAUCUCUUGGCUCUC